UUUUUUGUAAUAUAUAAUAUUAUAAUUACCUUCCAAGUAGAAAAUCUCGAAAGAG
rnacentral:tRNA from 1 species